UACAGAGGGUGCAAGCGUUAAUCGGAAUUACUGGGCGUAAAGCGUGCGUAGACGGUUAUUUAAGUCAGGUGUGAAAGCCCAGGGCUCAACCUUGGAAUUGCAUUUGAGACUGAAUAGCUAGGGUGCGGAAGAGGGAAGCGGAAUUUCCGGUGUAGCGGUGAAAUGCGUAGAUAUCGGAAGGAACACCAGUGGCGAAAGCGGCUUCCUGGUCCAGCACCGACGUUCAGGCACGAAAGCGUGAAGAGCAAACAGG
rnacentral:rRNA from 1 species